rnacentral:piRNA from 1 species
UGGACGUUACGGGAACUGUCCCUCCCUGAC